AUCGCUUCUCAGCCUUUUGGCUAAGAUCAAGUGUAGUAUAAGAAUCACCCUAAAUUUUUUGGGAAAACAAAUGGAAGGAGAAAAAAAUGUAGGCUACACAAGUGAUAAUAUUCAAAAUUCUCAGCCAUAAAAAUAAAGGCCUUUUAUUUGGUUUUCUAUGCCGUUACAGGAACGUGUGGACCACACUUG